rnacentral:rRNA from 1 species
GAUGAACGCUAGCUACAGGCUUAACACAUGCAAGUCGAGGGGCAGCAUGGUCUUAGCUUGCUAAGGCCGAUGGCGACCGGCGCACGGGUGAGUAACACGUAUCCAACCUGCCGUCUACUCUUGGACAGCCUUCUGAAAGGAAGAUUAAUACAAGAUGGCAUCAUGAGUCCGCAUGUUCACAUGAUUAAAGGUAUUCCGGUAGACGAUGGGGAUGCGUUCCAUUAGAUAGUAGGCGGGGUAACGGCCCACCUAGUCUUCGAUGGAUAGGGGUUCUGAGAGGAAGGUCCCCCACAUUGGAACUGAGACACGGUCCAAACUCCUACGGGAGGCAGCAGUGAGGAAUAUUGGUCAAUGGGCGAGAGCCUGAACCAGCCAAGUAGCGUGAAGGAUGACUGCCCUAUGGGUUGUAAACUUCUUUUAUAAAGGAAUAAAGUCGGGUAUGGAUACCCGUUUGCAUGUACUUUAUGAAUAAGGAUCGGCUAACUCCGUGCCAGCAGCCGCGGUAAUACGGAGGAUCCGAGCGUUAUCCGGAUUUAUUGGGUUUAAAGGGAGCGUAGAUGGAUGUUUAAGUCAGUCGUGAAAGUUUGCGGCUCAACCGUAAAAUUGCAGUUGAUACUGGAUAUCUUGAGUGCAGUUGAGGCAGGCGGAAUUCGUGGUGUAGCGGUGAAAUGCUUAGAUAUCACGAAGAACUCCGAUUGC